UAACGCGUGGGGAAUCUGCCUUUGAGCGGGGGACAACAUUUGGAAACGAAUGCUAAUACCGCAUAAAAACUUUAAACACAAGUUUUAAGUUUGAAAGAUGCAAUUGCAUCACUCAAAGAUGAUCCCGCGUUGUACUAGCUAGUUGGUGAGGUAAAGGCUCACCAAGGCGAUGAUACAUAGCCGACCUGAGAGGGUGAUCGGCCACAUUGGGACUGAGACACGGNCCAAACUCCUACGGGAGGCAGCAGUAGGGAAUCUUCGGCAAUGGACGAAAGUCUGACCGAGCAACGCCGCGUGAGUGAAGAAGGUUUUCGGAUCGUAAAACUCUGUUGGUAGAGAAGAACGUUGGNGAGAGUGGAAAGCUCAUCAAGUGACGGUAACUACCCAGAAAGGGACGGCUAACUACGUGCCAGCAGCCGCGGUAAUACGUAGGUCCCGAGCGUUGUCCGGAUUUAUUGGGCGUAAAGCGAGCGCANGUGGUUUAUUAAGUCUGGUGUAAAAGGCAGUGGCUCAACCAUUGUAUGCAUUGGAAACUGGUAGACUUGAGUGCAGGAGAGGAGAGUGGAAUUCCAUGUGUAGCGGUGAAAUGCGUANAUAUAUGGAGGAACACCGGUGGCGAAAGCGGCUCUCUGGCCUGUAACUGACACUGAGGCUCGAAAGCGUGGGGAGCAAACAGGAUUAGAUACCCUGGUAGUCCACGCCGUANACGAUGAGUGCUAGAUGU
rnacentral:rRNA from 1 species